rnacentral:rRNA from 1 species
CAGUCGACGAGAUUUUAUUAAUUGAUUACUUCGGUAUGAUUUUUCUAAAAUCGAGUGGCGGACGGGUGAGUAACACGUGGGUAACCUGCCCUUAAGUAGGGGAUAACAUUUGGAAACAGAUGCUAAUACCGUAUAAAUCUCAGAAACACAUGUUUCUGAGCUGAAAGGCGGCUUUCGAGCUGUCGCUUUUGGAUGGACCCGCGGCGUAUUAGCUAGUUGGUGAGGUAAAGGCUCACCAAGGCAGUGAUACGUAGCCGACCUGAGAGGGUGAUCGGCCACAUUGGGACUGAGAUACGGCCCAAACUCCUACGGGAGGCAGCAGUAGGGAAUCUUCCACAAUGGACGAAAGUCUGAUGGAGCAACGCCGCGUGAGUGAAGAAGGUUUUCGGAUCGUAAAACUCUGUUGUUGGAGAAGAACACGUUUGAGAGUAACUGUUCAGACGUUGACGGUAUCCAACCAGAAAGCCACGGCUAACUACGUGCCAGCAGCCGCGGUAAUACGUAGGUGGCAAGCGUUAUCCGGAUUUAUUGGGCGUAAAGCGAGCGCAGGCGGUUUUUUAAGUCUGAUGUGAAAGCCUUCGGCUUAACCGAAGAAGUGCAUCGGAAACUGGGAAACUUGAGUGCAGAAGAGGACAGUGGAACUCCAUGUGUAGCGGUGAAAUGCGUAGAUAUAUGGAAGAACACCAGUGGCGAAGGCGGCUGUCUGGUCUGUAACUGACGCUGAGGCUCGAAAGCAUGGGUAGCGAACAGGAUUAGAUACCCUGGUAGUCCAUGCCGUAAACGAUGAAUGCUAGGUGUUGGAGGGUUUCCGCCCUUCAGUGCCGCAGCUAACGCAUUAAGCAUUCCGCCUGGGGAGUACGAUCGCAAGGUUGAAACUCAAAGGAAUUGACGGGGGCCCGCACAAGCGGUGGAGCAUGU